AUUUUGUUGUUUUCUAACACAGGUUCGUUGUAUAAUACGAAAUAUAGUUCGAGACUGGGCAGCAGAGGGUCAGAGAGAACGAGAUCAAUGUUACAAGCCUAUCCUUGAAGAGCUUGAUUCCUUGUUUCCUAAUCGUCAGAAGGAUAGCACUCCUCCUG